UGAGAUACAAUCACCCAGAGACUCGAGUAAAUACGCAGGCUGUCUGCUGCUAAACUGGACACACUCACACUGCUUGUGGACCAUGGAGGAGAGAACAGGACCAAACCAGGACCCAGGAAAUACGGCUGUCAGCUCACACUGGAUCCAAACACAGCGCACAGAGACCUGUCUCUGUCUGAGGGGAACAGGAAGGUGACACACACACCGGAGAGAUUGGAGCAGCCAUAUCCUGAUCAUCCAGAGAGAUUUGAGUGCUGGACCCAGGUUGUGUGCAGAGAGAGUGUGUGUGAGCGCUGUUACUGGGAGGCUGAGUACAGUGUGCCUGAGUGGGGGGGGGAGGGAUGGGUUCACAUAGCAGUGACAGAUGAAGGAAUCAACAGGAAAGGAUGGGGUUCUGACUGUAGGUUUGGAGAGAAUAGAAACUCCUGGAGUCUGGAGU